rnacentral:rRNA from 1 species
UACGUAGGGGGCAAGCGUUGUCCGGAAUUAUUGGGCGUAAAGAGCUCGUAGGCGGCCUGUUACGUCUGCUGUGAAAUCCCGGGGCUUAACCCCGGGCGUGCAGUGGAUACGGGCAGGCUGGAGGCAGGCAGGGGAGAACGGAAUUCCCGGUGUAGCGGUGAAAUGCGCAGAUAUCGGGAGGAACACCGGUGGCGAAGGCGGUUCUCUGGGCCUUACCUGACACUGAGGAGCGAAAGCGUGGGGAGCGAACAGG